UUGGUCCUCAGAGGGGAGAGAGCGCUUAUGAAGUCUGUGGUUACAUAGUAUUUCCUCGGGUAACUCGAUGCGCUGGAAGGGGGAAGGCAGAAGAUCCCUCCUUGCCGACAACGCAUUGAGACUUCCACAAAUCUCUCUCCUUCUGAAGACGUUUGAAAAGAGGAAAAUGGCCUCUAAAGUUACAAUCGAUGGACUGCAGAAACUGAGAAAGGAGGCAUUGGACGACUGCCAUAAUAUUUCUUAUCAUCGGGGAGUUAUUUUUUGUCACCAGAAUGGAAUGGUUUUUCUUUGACACUGCAAAAAUGAAACAGACACUGCAUCUCUGUGUGUUAUGGCUGUUGCUGGUAUGGAGCACAGGGGCCUCUGACAGGAGACCCCUCAAAAGGACAAUCUUACAACGAACAUCUCUCCAGGGAGGGAUGUUUAACAGAACACAAAACGUGUUGAACUCUGACAGUAUUGUUCCUUCCGCUGGUGGUAUAAAUGUAUCCCCUAUGAUGAGCCAUCGUGACAGAAUGCAGAGAGAUGAGAAAGCUGAGCCUCCAAGAAGAGGAAAAGGACCACCAAGCAGAAGGAUGAUGCCAAGCAGAAGAAUACCCCAACAACCAAAGAAACCCAUAAACCAGGUUGGCAGUAAACCAG